rnacentral:rRNA from 1 species
UACGUAGGGUGCAAGCGUUGUCCGGAAUUAUUGGGCGUAAAGAGCUCGUAGGCGGUUUGUCGCGUCUGCUGUGAAAACGCGAGGCUCAACCUCGCGCCUGCAGUGGGUACGGGCAGACUAGAGUGCGGUAGGGGAGAUUGGAAUUCCUGGUGUAGCGGUGGAAUGCGCAGAUAUCAGGAGGAACACCGGUGGCGAAGGCGGGUCUCUGGGCCGUAACUGACGCUGAGGAGCGAAAGCGUGGGGAGCAAACAGG